AGUGAACGCUAGCGGUAGGCCUAACACAUGCAAGUCGAACGGCAGCACAGUAAGAGCUUGCUCUUACGGGUGGCGAGUGGCGGACGGGUGAGGAAUACAUCGGAAUCUACUUUUUCGUGGGGGAUAGCGUAGGGAAACUUACGCUAAUACCGCACACGACCUACGGGUGAAAGCAGGGGAUCUUCGGACCUUGCGCGAUUGAAUGAGCCGAUGUCGGAUUAGCUAGUUGGCGGGGUAAAGGCCCACCAAGGCGACGAUCCGUAGCUGGUCUGAGAGGAUGAUCAGCCACACUGGAACUGAGACACGGUCCAGACUCCUACGGGAGGCAGCAGUGGGGAAUAUUGGACAAUGGGCGCAAGCCUGAUCCAGCCAUACCGCGUGGGUGAAGAAGGCCUUCGGGUUGUAAAGCCCUUUUGUUGGGAAAGAAAAGCAGCAGGCUAAUACCCCGCUGUUCUGACGGUACCCAAAGAAUAAGCACCGGCUAACUUCGUG
rnacentral:rRNA from 1 species